rnacentral:misc_RNA from 1 species
GGGCACUAAAAUGAGGAGGAAGAUGUGGUUUCAGAAUAUGAAGAUAAAGUUGAUUGUGUUGGGCAUCAUAAUCGCUUUGAUUCUCAUAAUAAUCUUAUCAGUUUGCCAUGGCUUCCAUUGUUAAUUGAUAUCCAGAUAUGAAUAUGUAGAACUAUUUCUCGUUUCUGCCUUGUGAGAUUGUGAUACUGUCUGUAUUUUGAGUGUUGUAGUUUGUAUAGCGACUGCUCGGGAUUAUUUCUUG